UCUGAGUCAUUUCUGCCUGCUCAACUUCUCUUGUCGCCCAGACCAUAACUCUUCACCUGAUACUUUGAAUUCUGUCUCCGUGCUUUGGGCAAAAGCACCCUGUUGGAGACAAUUCACAGCAGCACCUUCUCUUCAUCACUCUCCAUCAAAACCUCUGAGUAAUUUCUGCCUCCUCAUCACCCCUUGUCCCCCAGACAAGGACUCUUCAUCUGAUACUGUGGAUUCUAUCUCCAAGCUUUGGCCAAAGGCACUAGUUGGAGACAACUCACAGGUUUGUUGUUCUUGUUUUUCCACUCAUCAUUUGAUGGACAUUUGGGCUGUUGUACUUUUUGUCCACUGUGAACAGUUCUUCUAUGAACACACUUGCAUAAGUGUUUGUUCAAAAACCUGCUUGAAAUUCUUUUUUGUUUCUUCUCCUUAUUGUGGUGACAGCACUUAACACAAGCUCUCCCCUCUUUAAAAAUUUUCAUGCACAAUAUGGUAUUGUUAACAAUAGGUGCAUAGUUGUGCAGCAGAUCUCUAGAAUUUAUUAGUCUUGUGUAACUGAAACUCAUACCUAGAAGGGAAAUUUCUGGGUCAUGUGGGAAUUCUGGGUUUAGCUGUUUUACAAACUGCCAGACUGCCUUCCACAGUGGCUGAACCAUUUCACAUUUCCACUAGCAGUGUAUGUGGGUUCAGAUUUCACCACAUCCUUUUUAACACUUACAUUUUUUUCAAAUUAUGGCUAGUCUAGUGGGUGUGAAGUCGUAUCUCAUUGUGGUUUUAUUUGCAGUUCCCUAAUGACUAAUGAAUUGACCAUCUUUCAUAUGCUUGCUGUUCAUUUGUAUAUCUUUUUUUGUCGAAAUGUCUAUUCAAGCCAUUUGAGUACUUUUUAAUUGGGUUGCUUUUUGUUGUUGAGUGAAGGUAUUCUUUAUAUAUUGUGGAUAAUAGAUCGUUAUUACAUAUAUGAUUUGCAAAUAUAUUUUUCCAAAUUUGUAAGUUGUCUUUUAUACUCUUGAUCAUGUUUUUAAAUGAAUGUACAUUUUAAAUUUUCAUGAAGUUCAAUUCAUGUAUUUUUUUCUUUUACUGCUUGUCCUUUUAGUGUCAUAUCUAAAAAACUAUUGUCAAGUUCAAGUUUAUGAAGAUUUGUUCUAUAUUUUUCCCUAAGAGUUUAUAAUUUUAGCUUUUCUAUUGAUCCAUUUUGAGCCACUUUUUGCAUAUGGUGUAAGUGUCCAGCUUUCUUCUCUUGCAUCUGAAUAUCCAGUUUUCCCAAUACAAUCUAUUGAAGGGACUAUUUCUUCCCCAUUGAGUGCUCUUUGCACUUUUGCCAAAAAUCAACUGCUCAUAUGCAUGGGUUUAUAUCGCAUGCUUCAAUUUUAUUCCAUGCAGCUGCGUGUCUGUUCUCAUGCCAACACCACACUGCUGAGUGUACUGGGGCUUUCUAGUAAGGUUGAAAUUAGGAAGUGUGAGUUCUCCAACUUUUUUCUUCUUUUUCAAGAUUUUUUGGCUAUUGUGCGUCUUUUGCAAUUAUCUUGAAUUAGAGAAAUGGUUUUUUCAUUUUUUCAGAAAAGACCACUGGGAUUUUAAAAGGGAUUGAAUUGAUUCUGUAAAUUGCCUUGGAGAGUAUUGUCAUCUUUACAAUGUUAAAUCUUCUAAGCCAUGAUCCUCAAAUGUCUUUCUGUCGCCUGAGGUCUUUAAAAUUUUCUUCAGCAGAUUUAAAAACACGCAGUGUAUAAAUAUUGCACCUCCUUUGAUAAACUCAUUCCUAUGUAUAUUUUCUCUUGGAUUCUGUUAUAAGUUUAAUUGUGUCUCCUAAAAUGAUUUGUUGAAGUCCUUAGCACCAGUACUUGUGAAUGUGAUUUUUUUGGAUAUAGGAUCUUUGCAGAUAUAAUCAAGUUAAAAUAAGAUCAUACUGAAUUAGGGUGAGUCCUUUCCCAAUAUUUCUGAUGUCCUUGUAAGAAUAGAAGAGACACAUAGAGAAAAAUGUCAUGUGAAGAUUGAUACACAUGAGGAGAUGACAGCCACGUGCAGAGGGAGGGAGAGAUUGGAGUUACACUGCCACAAACCUACGAGAGCCUGGGACCGGCAGAAGCUAAGAAGAAGCAAGGAAGGAUAUUUUCCUAGAACCUGUGAAAUGAACAUGGUUUUCCCGUACCUUAAUUGUGGACUUCUUCUCUCCAGAACUGGCCGUGCUGACUGGACGUGCUCACACGGACACACGUGGAUAACUCCCAUCACGGGGGAAAGACUUCAAGUUCUCACCAUUAAAAAUGAUGUCUAGUGUUGAUUUUUAAGCAUGCCUUUACAACUCAUAGGAAAUUCCCUUUUAUUUCUGAUGAGUUUUUAUUUUCAUUAUGAAUUUUUGGUGUAUUUUAUCAAUAGCUUUGCCUGCAUCUGUCAAAUGACCUUUUUUUUUUUUUACUUAUUCUGCUAAUGUGUUGGAUUAUGUUGAUUGAUUUUAAAAAUUUUAAGCACUCUAUCUCCCCCC